GAUGAACGCUGGCGGCGUGCCUAAUACAUGCAAGUCGAGCGAACAGACGAGGAGCUUGCUCCUCUGACGUUAGCGGCGGACGGGUGAGUAACACGUGGAUAACCUACCUAUAAGACUGGGAUAACUUCGGGAAACCGGAGCUAAUACCGGAUAAUAUAUUGAACCGCAUGGUUCAAUAGUGAAAGACGGUUUUGCUGUCACUUAUAGAUGGAUCCGCGCCGCAUUAGCUAGUUGGUAAGGUAACGGCUUACCAAGGCAACGAUGCGUAGCCGACCUGAGAGGAUGAUCGGCCACACUGGAACUGAGACACGGUCCAGACUCCUACGGGAGGCAGCAGUAGGGAAUAUUCCGCAAUGGGCGAAAGCUUGACGGAGCAACGCCGCGUGAGUGAUGAAGGUCUUCGGAUCGUAAAGCUCUGUUAUUAGGGAAGAACAAAUGUGUAAGUAACUAUGCACGUCUUGACGGUACCUAAUCAGAAAGCCACGGCUAACUACGUG
rnacentral:rRNA from 1 species